rnacentral:rRNA from 1 species
UACGAAGGGGGCUAGCGUUGCUCGGAAUCACUGGGCGUAAAGGGUGCGUAGGCGGCGUGGUAAGUCGGAUGUGAAAUCUCGGAGCUUAACUCCGAAACUGCAUUCGAUACUGCCGUGCUUGAGGACUGGAGAGGAGACUGGAAUUUACGGUGUAGCGGUGAAAUGCGUAGAUAUCGUAAGGAAGACCAGUGGCGAAGGCGGGUCUCUGGACAGUUCCUGACGCUGAGGCACGAAGGCCAGGGGAGCAAACGGG